rnacentral:rRNA from 1 species
GUGACUGCGUACCUUUUGUAUAAUGGGUCAGCGACUUAUAUUCUGUAGCAAGGUUAACCGAAUAGGGGAGCCGGAGGGAAACCGAGUCUUAACCGGGCGUUAAGUUGCAGGGUAUAGACCCGAAACCCGGUGAUCUAGCCAUGGGCAGGUUGAAGGUUGGGUAACACUAACUGGAGGACCGAACCGACUAAUGUUGAAAAAUUAGCGGAUGACCUGUGGCUGGGGGUGAAAGGCCAAUCAAACCGGGAGAUAGCUGGUUCUCCCCGAAAGCUAUUUAGGUAGCGCCUCGUGAAUUCAUCUCCGGGGGUAGAGCACUGUUUCGGCUAGGGGGCCAUCCCGGCUUACCAACCCGAUGCAAACUGCGAAUACCGGAGAAUGUUAUCACGGGAGACACACGGCGGGUGCUAACGUCCGUCGUGAAGAGGGAAACAACCCAGACCGCCAGCUAAGGUCCCAAAGUCAUGGUUAAGUGGGAAACGAUGUGGGAAGGCCCAGACAGCCAGGAUGUUGGCUUAGAAGCAGCCAUCAUUUAAAGAAAGCGUAAUAGCUCACUGGUCGAGUCGGCCUGCGCGGAAGAUGUAACGGGGCUAAACCAUGCACCGAAGCUGCGGCAGCGACACUGUGUGUUGUUGGGUAGGGGAGCGUUCUGUAAGCCUGUGAAGGUGUGUCGUGAGGCAUGCUGGAGGUAUCAGAAGUGCGAAUGCUGACAUAAGUAACGAUAAAGCGGGUGAAAAGCCCGCUCGCCGGAAGACCAAGGGUUCCUGUCCAACGUUAAUCGGGGCAGGGUGAGUCGACCCCUAAGGCGAGGCCGAAAGGCGUAGUCGAUGGGAAACGGGUUAAUAUUCCCGUACUUGGUGUUACUGCGAAGGGGGGACGGAGAAGGCUAUGUUGGCCGGGCGACGGUUGUCCCGGUUUAAGCGUGUAGGUGUGUGUUCCAGGUAAAUCCGGUUCACUUUAACACUGAGGCGUGACGACGAGGCACUACGGUGCUGAAGCAACAAAUGCCCUGCUUCCAGGAAAAGCCUCUAAGCAUCAGGUAACAUCAAAUCGUACCCCAAACCGACACAGGUGGUCAGGUAGAGAAUACCAAGGCGCUUGAGAGAACUCGGGUGAAGGAACUAGGCAAAAUGGUGCCGUAACUUCGGGAGAAGGCACGCUGACACGUAGGUGAAGUGAUUUACUCAUGGAGCUGAAGUCAGUCGAAGAUACCAGCUGGCUGCAACUGUUUAUUAAAAACACAGCACUGUGCAAACACGAAAGUGGACGUAUACGGUGUGACGCCUGCCCGGUGCCGGAAGGUUAAUUGAUGGGGUCAGCGCAAGCGAAGCUCCUGAUCGAAGCCCCGGUAAACGGCGGCCGUAACUAUAACGGUCCUAAGGUAGCGAAAUUCCUUGUCGGGUAAGUUCCGACCUGCACGAAUGGCGUAAUGAUGGCCAGGCUGUCUCCACCCGAGACUCAGUGAAAUUGAACUCGCUGUGAAGAUGCAGUGUACCCGCGGCAAGACGGAAAGACCCCGUGAACCUUUACUAUAGCUUGACACUGAACAUUGAGCCUUGAUGUGUAGGAUAGGUGGGAGGCUUUGAAGUGUGGACGCCAGUCUGCAUGGAGCCGACCUUGAAAUACCACCCUUUAAUGUUUGAUGUUCUAACGUGGACCCGUUACCCGGGUUGCGGACAGUGUCUGGUGGGUAGUUUGACUGGGGCGGUCUCCUCCUAAAGAGUAACGGAGGAGCACGAAGGUUGGCUAAUCCUGGUCGGACAUCAGGAGGUUAGUGCAAUGGCAUAAGCCAGCUUGACUGCGAGCGUGACGGCGCGAGCAGGUGCGAAAGCAGGUCAUAGUGAUCCGGUGGUUCUGAAUGGAAGGGCCAUCGCUCAACGGAUAAAAGGUACUCCGGGGAUAACAGGCUGAUACCGCCCAAGAGUUCAUAUCGACGGCGGUGUUUGGCACCUCGAUGUCGGCUCAUCACAUCCUGGGGCUGAAGUAGGUCCCAAGGGUAUGGCUGUUCGCCAUUUAAAGUGGUACGCGAGCUGGGUUUAGAACGUCGUGAGACAGUUCGGUCCCUAUCUGCCGUGGGCGCUGGAGAACUGAGGGGGGCUGCUCCUAGUACGAGAGGACCGGAGUGGACGCAUCACUGGUGUUCGGGUUGUCAUGCCAAUGGCACUGCCCGGUAGCUAAAUGCGGAAGAGAUAAGUGCUGAAAGCAUCUAAGCACGAAACUUGCCCCGAGAUGAGUUCUCCCUGAGACUUAGAGUCUCCUGAAGGAACGUUGAAGACGACGACGUUGAUAGGCCGGGUGUGUAAGCGCAGCGAUGCGUUGAGCUAACCGGUACUAAUGAACCGUGAGGCUUAACC